rnacentral:rRNA from 1 species
GACGGAGGAUGCAAGCGUUAUCCGGAAUGAUUGGGCGUAAAGCGUCCGCAGGUGGCAGUUCAAGUCUGCUGUCAAAGACCGGGGCUUAACUUCGGAAAGGCAGUGGAAACUGAACAGCUAGAGUAUGGUAGGGGCAGAGGGAAUUCCUGGUGUAGCGGUGAAAUGCGUAGAGAUCAGGAAGAACAUCGGUGGCGAAGGCGCCCUGCUGGACCAUAACUGACACUCAGGGACGAAAGCUAGGGGAGCGAAUGGG